UGGCUCUUUUAGUCUAAAGGGACGUCGAGUUGUGGAUUCGAAGGAUUUAGGGGGCAA
rnacentral:tRNA from 1 species